AGAGUUUGAUCCUGGCUCAGAAUCAACGCUGGCGGCGCGCUUAACACAUGCAAGUCGCACGAGAAAGUGGAGCAAUCCAUGAGUAAAGUGGCGUACGGGUGAGUAACACGUGGAUCAUCUACCUUUUAGCGGGGAAUACCCCUGGGAAACCGGGGACAAUACCGCAUAAGCUCGAAAGAGGAAAGCAGCAAUGCGCUGAAAGAGGAGUCCGCGGCUGAUUAGCUAGUUGGCGGGGUAACGGCCCACCAAGGCGAAGAUCGGUAGCCGGCCUGAGAGGGCACACGGCCACACUGGCACUGAAACACGGGCCAGACUCCUACGGGAGGCAGCAGUGGGGAAUCUUGCACAAUGGAGGAAACUCUGAUGCAGCGACGCCGCGUGAGCGAUGAAGCCCUUCGGGGUGUAAA
rnacentral:rRNA from 1 species